UACGUAGGGGGCAAGCGUUGUCCGGAAUCAUUGGGCGUAAAGCGCGUGUAGGCGGCUUGGUAAGUCCGUUCUGAAAGCCCGGGGCUCAACCCCGGGAGGCGGAUGGAUACUGUCAAGCUUGAGUCCGGAAGAGGAGAAUGGAAUUCCUGGUGUAGCGGUGAAAUGCGCAGAUAUCAGGAAGAACACCCGUGGCGAAGGCGGUUCUCUGGGACGGUACUGACGCUGAGACGCGAAAGCGUGGGGAGCGAACAGG
rnacentral:rRNA from 1 species